UUGCAGGGAAUGGCUAUCUCAACAAACUACCGACAUACCUUUAUCUACUCACGUGGAUAUCAAUGAUGGACACGACGGAGACGAUGUAAUUUGGUUUUAUAAGAUCUCCCACUUCUGGUACAGUGUCAUUACUGUGAUUAUGUGCUGCGUGGUUGGUCUUCUGGUUAGCCUGGCAACAGGAGGACAGAAAACGGAUCUUGACCCAAUACUUGUUAAUCCAUUGGUUAGGAAAGUAAAGUUCUGUG